UUUAAGCACGCAAUCCUCUGCUGCAAUAAUAGUGGGUUGGACAAUAGGGUUGGAAGGCAGUGAUGGGGGUGGCACCAUAGGGUGUUUAUCAAAAAGAGCUUUCAUGGUCGAUUCUAUUCUCCAAAGGGGGCAACCCCACUGGAACAUAAAACUUUGACCGCCGCCGUAAAAUGCCCAUCCCUGACCUUCCGCAGGCAUUGCUUGAUAUUGGGGUCCUUU
rnacentral:lncRNA from 1 species